AGCGGCGGAUGGGUGAGUAACACGUGGGGAACCUGCCCCUAAGUCUGGGAUACCAUUUGGAAACAGGUGCUAAUACCGGAUAAUAAAGCAGAUCGCAUGAUCAGCUUUUGAAAGGCGGCGUAAGCUGUCGCUAAGGGAUGGCCCCGCGGUGCAUUAGCUAGUUGGUAAGGUAACGGCUUACCAAGGCGACGAUGCAUAGCCGAGUUAAGAGACUGAUCGGCCACAUUGGGACUGAGACACGGCCCAAACUCCUACGGGAGGCAGCAGUAGGGAAUCUUCCACAAUGGACGCAAGUCUGAUGGAGCAACGCCGCGUGAGUGAAGAAGGUUUUCGGAUCGUAAAGCUCUGUUGUUGGUGAAGAAGGAUAGAGGUAGUAACUGGCCUUUAUUUGACGGUAAUCAACCAGAAAGUCACGGCUAACUACGUGCCAGCAGCCGCGGUAAUACGUAGGUGGCAAGCGUUGUCCGGAUUUAUUGGGCGUAAAGCGAGCGCAGGCGGAAAAAUAAGUCUAAUGUGAAAGCCCUCGGCUUAACCGAGGAACUGCAUCGGAAACUGUUUUUCUUGAGUGCAGAAGAGGAGAGUGGAACUCCAUGUGUAGCGGUGGAAUGCGUAGAUAUGUGGAAGAACACCAGUGGCGAAGGCGGCUCUCUGGUCUGCAACCGACGCUGAGGCUCGAAAGCAUGGGUAGCGAACAGGAUUAGAUACCCUGGUAGUCCAUGCCGUAACGAUGAGUGCUAAGUGU
rnacentral:rRNA from 1 species